UACGUAGGUGGCGAACGUUGUCCGGAUUUACUGGGCGUAAAGCGCGCGCAGGCGGACUGGUAAGUCAGAGGUGAAAUCUCCCGGCUCAACUGGGAGGGGGCCCUUUGAUACUGUCAGUCUUGAGAUGCCUAGAGGAGAGUGGAAUUCCCGGUGUAGUGGUGGAAUGCGUAGAUAUCGGGAGGAACACCAGUGGCGAAAGCGACUCUCUGGGGGCGAUCUGACGCUGAGGCGCGAAAGCGUGGGGAGCAAACCGG
rnacentral:rRNA from 1 species